AAUUGGUGUUCCUCUCUGGAGGGAUCCUCUAGUUAUGGGCUUUGGAACCCAGACAGGAAAUGUGAAUCAUGCAGCAAUGCAAAAUUAAUUCAGACGGAAAGAAAGGAUGUAGCCCAGGUAACUGGGGUGGAGAGGCCCACGGGGGGCUGGAGGUGUCUAACCUGCCUCCUGCCCUUGUCCUCCCCAGCUCUCUGUGGCAGAAGAGAGGCUUUCUUUGAAGAGGAUGGCUGCUGUGGGACCUGGAAGCUACCAAAGGUGUCUCCGGGAAUUCUCCAGAGGUUGCCUUAAAUGCGUCAGGCAUUAGCCCCGGUCCCCACUGGCCUAAGUUAGCCUGCCCAGGCCUCCUGAGCCGUUGGUGAGAGCAUUGCCUUGUGCUGGUCAUCUAUACCAUGACUACUUGUUCCAGGUCCCUGGGGCCUUCCUGCUGCAGAACUGGUUUUAUGGUCUACACAUCCAACUGUGCCAGGCUGACUCAAACCUGGACCCACUCCUGUCACGUGAGAGGGAUGGAGAAGCCCUGCAUCUGGUUCUUGAAGUAAAGGCCUUCAUCACUCUUUUCCUCAAAGAGCUGCAUGUCGAUUAGAGUCUUGGAACAAUUGCUUUCCACUGCUCAUUGGCCCAGCUCACUGGCCUCUUGCCCAAGGGCAGGUAACGGGCACAUGAAGAGACAGCGGAAGCAGUUCUGCGCCAACCAAAAAAGAUCUCAACCCAGGAGGUGCCUGGGUCUGUGACUUUGGUUUUUGAAAACCUAACACCUGGCACAAGGAAAUUCCUUAACAAUCUCACCACAUCUGUGUCCAGACAUUGCUGGUAUCAAGAAAAGAGGUAUGU